ACGGGAGGCAGCAGUGGGGAAUAUUGCACAAUGGGGGAAACCCUGAUGCAGCGACGCCGCGUGGAGGAAGAAGGUCUUCGGAUUGUAAACUCCUGUUGUUGGGGAAGAUAAUGACGGUACCCAACAAGGAAGUGACGGCUAACUACGUGCCAGCAGCCGCGGUAAAACGUAGGUCACAAGCGUUGUCCGGAAUUACUGGGUGUAAAGGGAGCGCAGGCGGGAAGACAAGUUGGAAGUGAAAUCUAUGGGCUCAACCCAUAAACUGCUUUCAAAACUGUUUUUCUUGAGUAGUGCAGAGGUAGGCGGAAUUCCCGGUGUAGCGGUGGAAUGCGUAGAUAUCGGGAGGAACACCAGUGGCGAAGGCGGCCUACUGGGCACCAACUGACGCUGAGGCUCGAAAGUGUGGGUAGCAAACAGGAUUAGAUACCCUGGUAGUCCACACCGUAAACGAUGAUUAUUAGGUGUUGGAGGAUUGCACCCCUUCCAGUGCC
rnacentral:rRNA from 1 species